AGAGUUUGAUCCUGGCUCAGGAUGAACGCUAGCGACAGGCUUAACACAUGCAAGUCGAGGGGCAGCGGGGGUAGCGAUACCCGCCGGCGACCGGCGCACGGGUGAGUAACGCGUAUGCAACUUGCCUAUCAGAGGGGGAUAACCCGGCGAAAGUCGGACUAAUACCGCAUGAAGCAGGGGCCCCGCAUGGGGAUAUUUGCUAAAGAUUCAUCGCUGAUAGAUAGGCAUGCGUUCCAUUAGGCAGUUGGCGGGGUAACGGCCCACCAAACCGACGAUGGAUAGGGGUUCUGAGAGGAAGGUCCCCCACAUUGGUACUGAGACACGGACCAAACUCCUACGGGAGGCAGCAGUGAGGAAUAUUGGUCAAUGGGCGUAAGCCUGAACCAGCCAAGUCGCGUGAGGGAUGAAGGUUCUAUGGAUCGUAAACCUCUUUUAUAAGGGAAUAAAGUGCGGGACGUGUCCCGUUUUGUAUGUACCUUAUGAAUAAGGAUCGGCUAACUCCGUGCCAGCAGCCGCGGUAAUACGGAGGAUCCGAGCGUUAUCCGGAUUUAUUGGGUUUAAAGGGUGCGUAGGCGGCCUUUUAAGUCAGCGGUGAAAGUCUGUGGCUCAACCAUAGAAUUGCCGUUGAAACUGGGGGGCUUGAGUAUGUUUGAGGCAGGCGGAAUGCGUGGUGUAGCGGUGAAAUGCAUAGAUAUCACGCAGAACCCCGAUUGCGAAGGCAGCCUGCCAAGCCAUUACUGACGCUGAUGCACGAAAGCGUGGGGAUCAAACAGGAUUAGAUACCCUGGUAGUCCACGCAGUAAACGAUGAUCACUAGCUGUUUGCGAUACACUGUAAGCGGCACAGCGAAAGCGUUAAGUGAUCCACCUGGGGAGUACGCCGGCAACGGUGAAACUCAAAGGAAUUGACGGGGGCCCGCACAAGCGGAGGAACAUGUGGUUUAAUUCGAUGAUACGCGAGGAACCUUACCCGGGUUUGAACGCAUUCGGACCGAGGUGGAAACACCUUUUCUAGCAAUAGCCGUUUGCGAGGUGCUGCAUGGUUGUCGUCAGCUCGUGCCGUGAGGUGUCGGCUUAAGUGCCAUAACGAGCGCAACCCUUGCCACUAGUUACUAACAGGUAAAGCUGAGGACUCUGGUGGGACUGCCAGCGUAAGCUGCGAGGAAGGCGGGGAUGACGUCAAAUCAGCACGGCCCUUACAUCCGGGGCGACACACGUGUUACAAUGGCGUGGACAAAGGGAAGCCACCUGGCGACAGGGAGCGAAUCCCCAAACCACGUCUCAGUUCGGAUCGGAGUCUGCAACCCGACUCCGUGAAGCUGGAUUCGCUAGUAAUCGCGCAUCAGCCAUGGCGCGGUGAAUACGUUCCCGGGCCUUGUACACACCGCCCGUCAAGCCAUGGGAGCCGGGGGUACCUGAAGUGCGUAACCGCAAGGAGCGCCCUAGGGUAAAACUGGUGACUGGGGCUAAGUCGUAACAAGGUAGCCGUACCGGAAGGUGCGGCUG
rnacentral:rRNA from 1 species